AGGCAAACAAAGAGCUUUGGCAACUCUACAUACCAAAUUUCAUGUUUAGACAGACGCAUUGCUUUCACAUACUCAACUAGAGCAGUCAUGUGGCGACGCACCGAAUUUGGAUCAUUGGCAUUGAUGCGAUAUUCUAGAGUUCAAAUUUAAAUAUGAAAUAUAAUUAUUGUUAUUGAUUAGCAAACGCAAGCACUCCAAUCCCUGAUCCGACCCAUCCAUCUCUGUGUAGAACUCAUGGAAGUUCGGCACCGAUGCGAAUAUGACACCAACUUUGGCAUAGCUUUGAUGAUAGAGUUCCUGUGAGGGAUUGACCUAUAUUGUUUAGCAACAAAAGAAACCAACAACAACCGCCAAGAAAAUGAUUGAUUAAAAGUUUCAGGGGAUAAGAGAGUUGGCAACACACUAAGUUUUGACACCCAUUGUCGCACCACUGACGACAACCGGGCAGAACGACACGACACAACACAAAUUUCCAAAAAUCGUUGAAAUAUUUGGCAACAAAAAAAAAAAAACAAAUUACAACAACGAUGUGUGUUUUGUAGCACAUAAAAGCAUUGCAAGAAGUGCAAAAUGCUGCCAAACACGUGUGAAAAACUGGGCGAGUCGUUGCAGCAAAAAAGAAACUGAUUCGAGUGCAGUUGUGAAAUAUUGAUUUGUGUAAAUUUAAGAAAAUCAAUAACUUAGAUCGGUGAAAAAUCACACCUGAAGUAGCGAUCUUCGUGAGUAGGCCUUUGAAGCGUGGUCCUAUUUCGCCUUGCUAGGUAUUUGUUGAUUGGUUGGUACAAAACAAUUUAAUGAUGCACGCACAGGACGGAACAGGAUAUAACGACAGUGCGUGUAUAUGUGAGAGCGAGAGAGAGAGAGAGAGAAAAAAAAAGAGAAAAGAGAGCACCAGACAUGGCAAGACACAUGGAAGAAAAAUCGAUGGAAUCAAGCAUUUGUCGAGACGAAGAGCACUCAGCGGUCAGCACUCACACUCACCUAGGCGCCGUGAUACAGUUCUGUUCACUUGAUUAGAUGCAAUAAUUCUUAUAGAAGAAAAGGGUUAGUAAAGCAAACGCAUUUGAUCUCGUAACACAAGGAUUGCUGAUAAUUCAAGUGAAGACUGCAUUUUGCUCGAACAUACAUAAAAUUUUCCAGUGGCAGGCUACCCUAUCAGAAAUCAAAACAGAUUAACGAAACCAACGCAAGACUGAGUCUUGUCGAGGCCCUAUGCUCCCCAGAGGAGUGAACAAGGAGAAAACAAAAAGAAAGAAAGCAUCAAAAUUUUAUUCCAUCUAACGGUACUUCGCAGCAGUAAAACUUCAGCAGCUGUAAUACUGCGCUUGAUUUGUGGGUUCACUUGAAUAGAGGCACUAACCAAAUAAGAAAAAAUAAUAACGAAUAUAGGAAAUUUGUUUUUUUUUAAAUAUAUUAUUUAAAGUAUAAUAGUUUUUGCUACCACCUUAUUUAUAAACCACUUCGUAAAUACGUUGAUGAAUGGAUUUGCACGAAUUCGCCAGAUAACCUAAUGAAAUUUUACACCAGACCGUUUUAAUGACUCCAAUUAAAGCAUUUUUGUUAUUCAAAUUGUUGCCGAUUCUCAUAAGCCUUACGAAUGAGUCAUCCCCACAGAUUUUCAGUAAUGCUAAGAUCUGGAAAAUACAGUGGCCAUGUUAAGUUUCAAUGUUUUGGGACGCAAUCGAAGUUUUGACCACACUUGAAGUGCGUACAGGUACAUUAUACUGCUGAAAGAUUCAAUUAAUAGGUCCAAUCUCGGGAAAAGAUGAUUCCAACAAAGCUUUAUAGCUGUUUUCCGUCAUUUUAUAGUCUACGAUUUUCAAUUCGAACGCGCCUUAGUACGAUAUUGUUCCCCAUACCAUAACACCAUCUUCACGGCUGUGAUGCCGACGCAAAUGCCUUUCCUCUUUUCUUAAGUCAUGAAAAUGGUAAUUGUCUUCUUCCGGCCAAUCCAGAUUCGUUUAGAUUUCGUUACUAAAUACUUCUUUUUUCCAUUCGUCGGGUUCGUUAUUUGUAACAGAACUCCAGCCAUGUGGUCCCUUCCAAAAUCGAGGCGGCGUUCUUUGCGAACUUUAAUCAAAGGUGGUUUUUUGUAAUUUUUCAUAAUUUUGUAAUUUUUCUUGGGAGGAUAGGGCCUCGACAAGACUCCGUCUUGCGUUGGUUUCGUUAAUCUGUAUUGAUUUCUGAUAGGAUAGGUGAUUAGGUGAUGUAUGUUCGAGCAAAGUAGAGUUUCCACUUGAAUUAUCAGAAAUUCUAGUUUUUCAAGAUCAAAUACGUUUGCUUUAAUAACCAUUUUCCUCCAUACAAAUUGUUGCCUCUAAUCAAGUGAACCGAACUGCAGGUGUAUCACCGUUUUUUGCCAAUUUCUUGCUGCAAGAAACUCUUGAUACACAUACAUUUUUAAAACUAAAAACAAAAAACAUGCCAAUUGUGAUCAAAGUUGUAUUUAAAACUGCAAAAUAUGUACUAUGCACUAUAGGGCGGAUCGAUUUAAAAAUCGCUCAUUGCUCUUUGAAAAUCGUAUUCUAAGGAUCAAAAUAAGAAACUUUGCCGAAGGAACCAUACCUCUAAAACGAAUUCUAAUGUCUCCAAUAUAAAAAUAUCAACAUUUUUGGCCUUUACAU